GGGUGUGGCAGGGCGGGUCUACGGAGGCCUCUUUAGGCCACAGAGCAACGUAAAGCCUAGGCCUGCAGAGACUGCUCAGUCACAGUUGAAGGAGACCUACUGAGUCCUGAGGACAACCAACAAAGGCCUUAACGGCACAGAAGGUUGUGACAUCAGAAAGUUGAUAGACGUGAUCGCUAAGAAUCUUGCCGAAUAUUCUAGGACUACAAGUAAAAGAGACCCUAUUUUCUGUGCUGGGAAAAGCAUCUGAGUGGACCUAACACAGGGCAGUGAAAGUGAUGCAGAACAAACUUCAAAGCCUCCAGGAGCACACGUGACCUCAGGAAAUGAACAGAAACAACCUAGCUCUCCAAAGAGGAGUAUUUCAUUCAACUCCGAACUGCUCACACAUUAUGCAACUGUGAACAAGGCUCAUUUAAAAAUCCAUGAAGCUUCUAAUGUUUUCACCACAAAAUAUAUUAAGUAUUGAGGUGCUGGAUAUGUUGACUAGUUUGAUUUAAUUAUUCCACAUUAUAUGCAUAAAUAGUAACAUCACCUUGUUCCCCAUAAAAUUAUACAAUUAUAAAUUGUCAAUUUGCAAUUAAAACAAUAAAA
rnacentral:lncRNA from 10 species